UACGUAGGUGACAAGCGUUGUCCGGAUUUACUGGGCGUAAAGAGCGCGCAGGCGGUCGUUCAAGUCGAGUGUGAAAGCCCCCGGCUCAACUGGGGAGGGUCAUUCGAUACUGAUCGACUCGAAGGCAGGAGAGGGUAGUGGAAUUCCCGGUGUAGUGGUGAAAUGCGUAGAUAUCGGGAGGAACACCAGUGGCGAAGGCGACUACCUGGCCUGUUCUUGACGCUGAGGCGCGAAAGCUAGGGGAGCAA
rnacentral:rRNA from 1 species